rnacentral:rRNA from 1 species
CUACGGGAUGCUCCAGUGAGGAAUAUUGCACAAUGGGGGGAACCCUGAUGCAGCAACGCCGCGUGGAGGAUGACGCAUUUCGGUGUGUAAACUCCUUUUAUAUGUCAAGAAAAUGACGGUAGCAUAUGAAUAAGCGCCGGCUAACUCCGUGCCAGCAGCCGCGGUAAUACGGAGGGCGCAAGCGUUACUCGGAAUCACUGGGCGUAAAGGACGCGUAGGCGGGUUGAAAAGUCAGGUGUGAAAGCCUACAGCUUAACUGUAGAACUGCACUUGAAACUUCUAAUCUAGAGUAUGGGAGGGGGAGAUGGAAUUAGUGGUGUAGGGGUAAAAUCCGUAGAUAUCACUAGGAAUACCUAAAGCGAAGGCGAUCUCCUGGAACAUUACUGACGCUAAGGCGUGAAAGCGUGGGGAGCAAACAGGAUUAGAUACCCGUGUAGUC